rnacentral:rRNA from 1 species
CAAAAGCGUAUAUUAAAGUUGUUGCAGUUAAAAAGCUCGUAGUUGAACCUUGGGCUUGGCUGGCCGGUCCAUCUUUUUUGAUGCGUACUGGACCCAGCCGAGCCUUUCCUUCUGGCUAGCCUUUUGGCGAACCAGGACUUUUACUUUGAAAAAAUUAGAGUGUUCAAAGCAGGCCUUUGCUCGAAUAUAUUAGCAUGGAAUAAUAGAAUAGGACGUUAUGGUUCUAUUUUGUUGGUUUCUGGGACCAUCGUAAUGAUUAAUAGGGACGGUCGGGGGUAUCAGUAUUCAGUUGUCAGAGGUGAAAUUCUUGGAUUUACUGAAGACUAACUACUGCGAAAGCAUUUACCAAGGACGUUUUCAUUAA